GUUCAUCUCCUGGAGCCUCCGGUCCAGGAAAUCCUCUCGACUACGGGUCUCGAGGGUCCUCUGGCAGAAUGGGGGUAGAGAUCUUCCAAGGGUGGAGUCAUGAUCUGACUGAGGGCUCUCCAGCCCUGGGUUCGUCUUCCUAGGAAAGUCGGGGCGGCUGGCCCAAGUGGCCCGCCCUACCACCGGAUUCUGGUGUUCCGGUGACAC
rnacentral:lncRNA from 1 species